AGUAGAAGCGGCAACAGCUCAAAUUUGAAAUCUGGCCCCCCCGCGGGGUCCGAGUUGUAGUUUGCAGAGGGCGCCUCGGCGGCCCCGUGCGCGGCAAGUCCCCUGGAACGGGGCGUCAGAGAGGGUGAGAGCCCCGUAAGACGAGCGCACGGCAAGCCAUGUGAGGCCCCUUCGACGAGUCGAGUUGUUUGGGAAUGCAGCUCUAAACGGGAGGUAAAUUUCUUCCAAGGCUAAAUACCGGCUGGAGACCGAUAGCGCACAAGUAGAGUGAUCGAAAGAUGAAAAGCACUUUGAAAAGAGAGUCAAACAGCGCGUGAAAUUGUUGAAAGGGAAGCGCUUGUGCCAGAACUCGGCCGCCGGGG
rnacentral:rRNA from 1 species